rnacentral:lncRNA from 1 species
UUGGACUUGCUUAUGUUAUUCUCUCUACCACCCUUCGGUUCCUUUUUAUGACUUAUCCCCAUAUUUCCAGUGACAAGUACCUCGGAUUGAGAUGAAUAACCAUGUGUCUUCCUUCUUAUCUCCUUGUUAAUAAUACCACCCUUAUUCGUUUCCAAAGAAACAACACCUCUGGGAGCAGAACUUGUGAUAGAAACUUGAAACGCC